GAUGAACGCUGGCGGCGUGCCUAAUACAUGCAAGUCGAGCGAACAGACGAGGAGCUUGCUCCUCUGACGUUAGCGGCGGACGGGUGAGUAACACGUGGAUAACCUACCUAUAAGACUGGGAUAACUUCGGGAAACCGGAGCUAAUACCGGAUAACAUGUUGAACCGCAUGGUUCAACAGUGAAAGACGGUCUUGCUGUCACUUAUAGAUGGAUCCGCGCCGCAUUAGCUAGUUGGUAAGGUAACGGCUUACCAAGGCAACGAUGCGUAGCCGACCUGAGAGGGUGAUCGGCCACACUGGAACUGAGACACGGCCCAGAAUCCUACGGGAGGCAGCAGUAGGGAAUCUUCCGCAAUGGGCGAAAGCCUGACGGAGCAACGCCGCGUGAGUGAAGAAGGUCUUCGGAUCGUAAAACUCUGUUAUUAGGGAAGAACAAAUGUGUAAGUAACUAUGCACGUCUUGACGGUACCUAAUCAGAAAGCCACGGCUAACUACGUG
rnacentral:rRNA from 1 species